rnacentral:rRNA from 1 species
AUUGAACGCCGGCGGCAUGCUUUACACAUGCAAGUCGAACGGUAACAGGGAGCUUGCUCCGCUGACGAGUGGCGAACGGGUGAGUAAUGCGUCGGAACGUGCCGAGUAGUGGGGGAUAACGCAUCGAAAGGUGUGCUAAUACCGCAUACGAACUGAGGUUGAAAGUGGGGGACCUUCGGGCCUUACGCUAUUCGAGCGGCCGACGUCUGAUUAGCUAGUUGGUGGGGUAAAGGCUCACCAAGGCGACGAUCGGUAGCGGGUCUGAGAGGAUGAUCCGCCACACUGGGACUGAGACACGGCCCAGACUCCUACGGGAGGCAGCAGUGGGGAAUUUUGGACAAUGGGCGCAAGCCUGAUCCAGCCAUGCCGCGUGUCUGAAGAAGGCCUUCGGGUUGUAAAGGACUUUUGUCCGGGAGCAAAUGCUGGUGGCUAACAUCCACCGGAGCUGAGAGUACCGGAAGAAUAAGCACCGGCUAACUACGUGCCAGCCGCCGCAGUAAGAC